rnacentral:snRNA from 1 species
GGAUGUGAGGGAGAUCUGGCUGCGACAUCUGUCACCACAUUGAUCUAGGGUUGAUUAGACUGAUCUGGCUGGCUAGGCAGGUGUCCCCUUCCUCUCUCUCACUGCUCUGUGAGCGUCCUUCCCAAAGCUGAGUGCUCAGUUGAAGAGGACGACCUUCCCUGACAGAGGAGGACAGAUCUUCAGUCAAGGAUAUACAAAUAGGUGCAUUCCCUGUGUUCUACUCCAGACAAGAAAGGUGGCUCUCUCUCUAUAGGGAGAUGAUUUACACUUUGUCCUUCUUCA